AAUUAACCUAAUUAAUCAAACUAAAAAAAAUACUUUUAUUUCUAAACCUUUAUUAGGCAAGAAUCAAUUAAAAAGCUGGAGAUAAAAGUUUUAAAAUUAUUAUUAUUUUUUUUUAAAAUUAAAAAGAAUUGGCGCUGCAGUCGAAUAUAUUUGCACAUCUGGUUUUAUUCUGCUGCGAUCGUUUUGUUAAUUUUUUAAACUUUCUUUUUCAUAGUAUCAUUGCAUCAAAUCGUAGUGUAUUACUUGUACUGAACGCCUUCAAAAGAUUUCACUAUGUUCCUCUUUGACUGGUUUGCUGGCGUUUUAAGUUUCCUUGGUAAGU